AUUGAACGCUGGCGGAAUGCUUUACGCAUGCAAGUCGAACGGUAGAGGGGGCAACCCCCUUGAGAGUGGCGAACGGGUGAGUAAUAUAUCGGAACGUGCCCAGUCGUGGGGAUAACGUAGCGAAAGUUACGCUAAUACCGCAUACGAUCUAAGGAUGAAAGCGGGGGAUCGCAAGACCUCGCGCGAUUGGAGCGGCCGAUAUCAGAUUAGGUAGUUGGUGAGGUAAAGGCUCACCAAGCCAACGAUCUGUAGCUGGUCUGAGAGGACGACCAGCCACACUGGAACUGAGACACGGUCCAGACUCUACGGGAGGCAGCAGUGGGGAAUUUUGGACAAUGGACGCAAGUACUGAUCCAGCCAUUCCGCGUGCAGGAUGAAGGCCCUCGGGUUGUAACCUAGCUUUGUACGGUACGAAAGGUUCUAUUAAUACUAGAGCUC
rnacentral:rRNA from 1 species